rnacentral:rRNA from 1 species
UUUGCGUCGAAGGUAUACCGGUAAGGAGUGCUGGAGCGAAUAGAAGUGAGCAUGCAGGCAUGAGUAGCGAUAAUUAAUGUGAGAAUCAUUAACGCCGUAAACCCAAGGUUUCCUACGCGAUGCUCGUCAUCGUAGGGUUAGUCGGGUCCUAAGUCGAGUCCGAAAGGGGUAGACGAUGGCAAAUUGGUUAAUAUUCCAAUACCAACAUUAGUGUGCGAUGGAAGGACGCUUAGGGCUAAGGGGGCUAGCGGAUGGAAGUGCUAGUCUAAGGUCGUAGGAGGUUAUACAGGCAAAUCCGUAUAACAAUACUCCGAGAACUGAAAGGCUUUUUGAAGUCUUCGGAUGGAUAGAAGAACCCCUGAUGCCGUCGAGCCAAGAAAAGUUUCUAAGUUUAGCUAAUGUUGCCCGUACCGUAAACCGACACAGGUGGGUGGGAUGAGUAUUCUAAGGCGCGUGGAAGAACUCUCUUUAAGGAACUCUGCAAAAUAGCACCGUAUCUUCGGUAUAAGGUGUGGUUAGCUUUGUAUUAGGAUUUACUCCGAAAGCAAGGAAACUUACAACAAAGAGUCCCUCCCGACUGUUUACCAAAAACACAGCACUCUGCUAACUCGUAAGAGGAUGUAUAGGGUGUGACGCCUGCCCGGUGCUCGAAGGUUAAUUGAUGGGGUUAGCAUUAGCGAAGCUCUUGAUCGAAGCCCGAGUAAACGGCGGCCGUAACUAUAACGGUCCUAAGGUAGCGAAAUUCCUUGUCGGUUAAAUACCGACCUGCAUGAAUGGCGUAACGAGAUGGGAGCUGUCUCAAAGAGGGAUCCAGUGAAAUUGUAGUGGAGGUGAAAAUUCCUCCUACCCGCGGCAAGACGGAAAGACCCCGUGGACCUUUACUACAGCUUGACACUGCUACUUGGAUAAGAAUGUGCAGGAUAGGUGGGAGGCUUUGAGUAUAUGACGCCAGUUGUAUAUGAGCCAUUGUUGAGAUACCACUCUUUCUUAUUUGGGUAGCUAACCAGCUUGAGUUAUCCUCAAGUGGGACAAUGUCUGGUGGGUAGUUUGACUGGGGCGGUCGCCUCCCAAAUAAUAACGGAGGCUUACAAAGGUUGGCUCAGAACGGUUGGAAAUCGUUCGUAGAGUAUAAAGGUAUAAGCCAGCUUAACUGCAAGACAUACAAGUCAAGCAGAGACGAAAGUCGGUCUUAGUGAUCCGGUGGUUCUGUGUGGAAGGGCCAUCGCUCAAAGGAUAAAAGGUACCCCGGGGAUAACAGGCUGAUCUCCCCCAAGAGCUCACAUCGACGGGGAGGUUUGGCACCUCGAUGUCGGCUCAUCGCAUCCUGGGGCUGGAGCAGGUCCCAAGGGUAUGGCUGUUCGCCAUUUAAAGCGGUACGCGAGCUGGGUUCAGAACGUCGUGAGACAGUUCGGUCCCUAUCUGCCGUGGGCGUAAGAAGAUUGAAGAGAUUUAACCCUAGUACGAGAGGACCGGGUUGAACAAACCACUGGUGUAGCUGUUGUUCUGCCAAGAGCAUCGCAGCGUAGCUAAGUUUGGAAAGGAUAAACGCUGAAAGCAUCUAAGCGUGAAGCCAACUCUAAGAUGAAUCUUCUCUAAGCUCUCUAGAAGACUACUAGUUUGAUAGGCUGGGUGUGUAAUGGAUGAAAGUCCUUUAGCUGACCAGUACUAAUAGAGCGUUUGGCUUAUCUUUAAUAAAGCAU